AUUGAACGCUGGCGGCAGGCCUAACACAUGCAAGUCGAGCGGUAGCACAGAGAGCUUGCUCUCGGGUGACGAGCGGCGGACGGGUGAGUAAUGUCUGGGAAACUGCCUGAUGGAGGGGGAUAACUACUGGAAACGGUAGCUAAUACCGCAUAACGUCGCAAGACCAAAGUGGGGGACCUUCGGGCCUCAUGCCAUCAGAUGUGCCCAGAUGGGAUUAGCUAGUAGGUGGGGUAACGGCUCACCUAGGCGACGAUCCCUAGCUGGUCUGAGAGGAUGACCAGCCACACUGGAACUGAGACACGGUCCGGACUCCUACGGGAGGCAGCAGUGGGGAAUAUUGCACAAUGGGCGCAAGCCUGAUGCAGCCAUGCCGCGUGUGUGAAGAAGGCCUUCGGGUUGUAAAGCACUUUCAGCGGGGAGGAAGGCGGUGAGGUUAAUAACCUCAUCGAUUGACGUUACCCGCAGAAGAAGCACCGGCUAACUCCGUGCCAGCAGCCGCGGUAAUACGGAGGGUGCAAGCGUUAAUCGGAAUUACUGGGCGUAAAGCGCACGCAGGCGGUCUGUCAAGUCGGAUGUGAAAUCCCCGGGCUCAACCUGGGAACUGCAUUCGAAACUGGCAGGCUAGAGUCUUGUAGAGGGGGGUAGAAUUCCAGGUGUAGCGGUGAAAUGCGUAGAGAUCUGGAGGAAUACCGGUGGCGAAGGCGGCCCCCUGGACAAAGACUGACGCUCAGGUGCGAAAGCGUGGGGAGCAAACAGGAUUAGAUACCCUGGUAGUCCACGCCGUAAACGAUGUCGAUUUGGAGGUUGUGCCCUUGAGGCGUGGCUUCCGGAGCUAACGCGUUAAAUCGACCGCCUGGGGAGUACGGCCGCAAGGUUAAAACUCAAAUGAAUUGACGGGGGCCCGCACAAGCGGUGGAGCAUGUGGUUUAAUUCGAUGCAACGCGAAGAACCUUACCUGGUCUUGACAUCCACAGAACUUUCCAGAGAUGGAUUGGUGCCUUCGGGAACUGUGAGACAGGUGCUGCAUGGCUGUCGUCAGCUCGUGUUGUGAAAUGUUGGGUUAAGUCCCGCAACGAGCGCAACCCUUAUCCUUUGUUGCCAGCGGUUAGGCCGGGAACUCAAAGGAGACUGCCAGUGAUAAACUGGAGGAAGGUGGGGAUGACGUCAAGUCAUCAUGGCCCUUACGACCAGGGCUACACACGUGCCACAAUGGCAUAUACAAAGAGAAGCGACCUCGCGAGAGCAAGCGGACCUCAUAAAGUAUGUCGUAGUCCGGAUUGGAGUCUGCAACUCGACUCCAUGAAGUCGGAAUCGCUAGUAAUCGUAGAUCAGGAUGCUACGGUGAAUACGUUCCCGGGCCU
rnacentral:rRNA from 1 species